UACGGAGGGGGCUAGCGUUGUUCGGAAUUACUGGGCGUAAAGCGCACGUAGGCGGAUUGAAAAGUUGGGGGUGAAAUCCCGGGGCUCAACCUCGGAACUGCCUCCAAAACUAUCAAUCUGGAGUUCGAGAGAGGUGAGUGGAAUUCCGAGUGUAGAGGUGAAAUUCGUAGAUAUUCGGAGGAACACCAGUGGCGAAGGCGGCUCACGGGCUCGAUAAUGACGAUGAGGUGCGAAAGCGUGGGGAGCAAACAGG
rnacentral:rRNA from 1 species